UCAUUACAAAUAAAGGGGAGAUCAUGUUUGUGUGUUUGGCCAUAUUUGUUGCUUUUACUGGCUCUUGGCUUACGUUUGUAAAUGCCGCCUUUUAACCUCUCAGGGUUUCUCAUGCUCUUCAUAAGAGCAAAUACACGCAAAUAUUCUCAUUCUGCAUUAUUUUUCAUUUAGUAACUAAGAUUAUGUUAUGUUUUAGAAAGCUAGGUAAUUGGAUUGAGUAUUUAAUCUUUCAAUUUAAAGGCUUUUUCUGUUGUUGUUCUUUUAAGUAUUUCCUGUAACUGAACAAGAUACGCAAAGCUAAUAUGUGUAGCUGUAAUAUGGAAGGACAACCUUUUCUAAAAUACUCUCCUUGGUGUGAGUUACAGUAGGUGAGCACAGAAAAGAAGGUGAAUAUGCUGUUUCUGCUGGUGCAGUGGAUAAAUGUGUAGGUGUUUCAAGCCUCGUGUAUUGUUAACUCGCUCAUUUCCUUCAAUGAAUAAAAUGGAUUGCUUGUGAAUGCAAUUCACAGCAGUGAAUGGGCUGCUAUCAGGAGCGUUCUUCUCAUGAAUCGUUAAAAGGGGAGCGAGAUGUGAUACAGUGGGAGCUGCAGGCUUUGUAUCAGGAGUGCUACUUUUAGAAAGGCUGAGUCAACAAACUCAUAAUUUGCAAGCGAUCAAAGGGCACAUGUUUCUAACCUUGGUAUGUUCUUUUUUUUUUUUUUCUUUCAUCCUUCCACAGUUGUCCUCCAGACUGCAAUGUCAUGUGUUACAGGCUAUGUUUAGUUUCUUCAUUAAAGCUCCAAUGUGAACUACAGGGUUCAAGGUAGUCAGGCCAAAUGAGUGUCCGUUAGAGUCCACAUAUACUUCAGGUUUGUCUGAAAUUUCCCUUAGUUCUCUUGUCACUCUAAUAGUUUGCAGUUUGUCUGGGGUACUAAAGCCUAAUCCUUUUGCAUUAAAAUUGGCAGUACGUUAUUUGAUUACAAUAUUGGGAGUCAGUGUCCACAACUCCCUAAAAGCAGUGUUUCGUUCAGUUACAGAUAGUCAGGCUGCUAGGCAGAUUGUCUCUGCAAAUGGUAUCUUUGCAGUGAAGAAAAGGCUGUCUUGGAUUUGUUUGUUUAUUUAUUUAUUUUAGAGCUUUGUGGGUUGUCUGUUGGCUCUCAACCAAGGGUGUUUCCUGUUUCUAGUUUUGACUUCUACUAGGGUUCUUUUCAAGCUGCACACUCUGUUGCACUGUAACUAAAUAGAGUGCGCCAGGCAACAUCAAGAGUAUUAUGGAUGCUUUCUGGUUGGUGGCCCUCUAGAGGUUUAGCUUCAGGCAUCUCUCAACUCUUAAUCUGAGUUUAUAUUUUUUUUCAAAUAAAAUGUUAGUGAAUAUUUUAUAAAGGUGUUUGUGGUUUGUAGUGGAAUUCAAGCCUCAAAAUCCAAAGCUUCAGAAAAUUUGCAUCCUAUUCAGUCUCACAGAAGCCAGUGUGCAGCAAAUCGUAUUUUAUAGAAUACAGCUGCUGAAGUGCCAAAGUUGGGAUAACUACUUCAAGGCAGGCACAUCCAUAUUGAAGUGGACACAGUGGUAACUUGGAAAGAAAAAGGGAAAAAGAAUGGCACAACGACUGUGUUCAUUAUUGUAAGGGGAAAAAAAUGCAUGGGAACUGUAUCAAGGUUGGUGGAUCAAACCUGAAUUGAGUUUACAUUACACUGAAAAGAAGCUAAGUCAAGAAAAGGCCAUGGUGGUGAUAAGUUUCUCUUGCACUAUCCCAUUAGCUGCUAAUUUAUAAAAUAUUCUUAGAUUGACAUAUAUUGUAGACAAAUUAUCAUGGAAAUACAAGGAGUCCAAUAGCGAUAAAAUGUACGAGGGCAGAGGAGUAUAUGUGGCCCAGGUGGAUGGCAUUUUAUAUUGUUCAAUAAACAUCAGUUGAAGCGUCUGUGUAUGUUUCUUUUAUUUACCAACUGCAAAUCAAGUGUUGAAGGGAAAUUACCCAGAUAAAAUCUUGUACUGGUGUUCUUUUUGUCUUGAGAAGUACUUUACUCUAAAAAUAUGAUUGUCGUAGAGGAGACUAUACCCGGAGCUGAAUUUCAAAGAAUUCAAAGUAACCUUGCAUGUUCUAGCCUCCUUUUGCAUUAGAC